rnacentral:RNase_P_RNA from 1 species
UGUCUGUAUCAGGUGAUCGCGCGACCCUUCGGGGAGCGAGGAAAGUCCGGACACGUACAUUUUUUGUAAGACGGUAGCAGGUAACGCCUGUCAGGAGCAAUCCUAGGGAUGCGAGCAGUGACGCCCGAAUCGAGAGAUGACGGCCCCUUCGGGGUGAAUCCUCUGGCAACAGAGGGGUGAAACGGCAAAAUUCCUACCUACGUGCAAGGUCGUACCGAAUCUUAUUCGGAGUGCCGCAAAGAGUUCUGUGGUGACACAAAACCAAGAUAAAUGAUCAUCCCUGCUUUUGCAGGACAGAAUCCGGCUUAUCGAUACAAACAGUAU